rnacentral:lncRNA from 1 species
AUGGAUCUGAAGCCAAUUGCAACCCUGCCUAAGGCUUUGGCUGCACACACCAAUGCCAGCACCGUGAAAAUACCCGCAACAGGCCAAGGGGCCACAAGCUUCUGCCUCCCUCAGGAACAAGAUCUGCUCCACUGCUGUAUUUCCAAGACAGACGGUAUCUCCCAGGGCGCRCUGUGGCCACGUGACUGCCAUGAUGCACCACUUCCCUGUACGAAUAGAGUGAAAGAGGAGGGCAUGCCGAUAUACUUAUUUUUAACAGGGAAACCAAACUACAAUGAAGAAUACUGGUUUGCAACACCUGCACUACAGUUCCCAGGAGGCAGUGCAGCUAUGUUUAGGAACCAAAAUACUGUUMUUUUUCACUGCCAUUUCAGACUAUUCUAUGUAAAAAAGUCUUCCUAA